UCGGGUGUCAAGUGUUUCCAAAACUCAGUUGGCUGCAUAAUUAUGGCUGCUUACAGAGCGAGAAUAAAAGAAUUCGAUGACCUAUUAAAUUCCGAAGAAAUAGAUCUGAAAACAUUAAGGAAGCUCUGUUUUAAUGGAGUUCCAGAUGAACAGGGCAGAAGGGCGUUGUGCUGGAAGCUUCUGCUCAAUUACUUACCACCAACUCAUUGUACAUGGAGUGAAACCUUAAGUAGGAAGAGAGAAUUGUACAGACAAUUUAUUGAGGAAAUGAUUGUGAUGCCAGGAGUUGCAGAUGACGAUGACUCAUGUCGAACUGAUGUUACAUUGACAGAUCAUCCUCUGAAUUUAAAUCCUGACAGCAAGUGGCAAACUUUUUUCAAGGAUAAUGAAGUUCUCUUGCAAAUAGACAAAGAUGUUAGGAGGCUAUGUCCUGAUAUAUCAUUUUUCCAACAAGCCACUGAUUUUCCAUGUCAGCAAGUAGUUCAUAGUAAAGGCGUAAAACGCCUUCAUAGAAGAGUUCAACAUACAGUGUUGAAAUCCGCAAAUGUGGAGAGGAAAGGCCUUGGAAUUACAAAGAUAGCACUCUCCAUUAAAAAAGCGCCAGAAGAUUAUGCACCAAUGGCAGAAGGCAUGGAAGCUCACUGGGAAGUAGUGGAGCGUAUACUGUUUUUAUAUGCUAAGUUGAAUCCUGGGCAAGGUUAUGUUCAAGGAAUGAAUGAAAUCAUUGGCCCUAUUUACUAUGCAUUUGCUUCCAACCCAGAUGCUGAAUGGAGAGAAUUUGCAGAAGCUGAUUGCUUUUUCUGCUUCACAAAUUUAAUGGGAGAAAUAAGAGACUUCUUCAUCAAAUCCCUUGAUGAAGCAGAAUGUGGUAUAAGCGGUAUGAUGGCACGCCUUGGUGAACAACUUCGUAAGAGUGAUCUGCAAGUGUGGCUCAGACUCCAGCAGCUGGAAUUGCGCCCACAAUAUUACAGUUUUAGGUGGCUGACACUACUUUUGUCUCAAGAAUUUCCUUUGCCAGAUGUCCUUAGGAUUUGGGACUCUCUAUUUGCUGAUGAGCAUCGCUUUGAUUUUCUUAUCUACAUUUGUUGCUCAAUGAUUAUAUUACUUCGUGAGGAACUAUUGACUGGUGAUUUUCCUUCAAAUGUGAAAUUACUCCAGAACUUUCCAUCAAUGGAUAUCCAAGUUGUACUGUCCAAGGCAGCAGAACUAGGUGGACUGAAAGCUUCAUGAAUUUUAUUUUGUGCUGCACUGCACUUUGUGUAUUACUGUUUGGUAGUAGUACUGUAUCAGGUUAUAUUUCUGCUCUAAAUUGGAUUGAAUUGUACUUAAAUCAGAAAACAUCAUGAAAAGGAUAGACUCCUACUCACCAUAUGGAGGAGAUGUUGAGUCACAGAAAGACAACAAAUAGACUGCUGUACAUUUAAAUUUCUUCUCAAAUACGACAGGCAUUCAGGGAGGCAAUGUUUCUUCCAUGAACUCUUCCAUGCUCGUGGUAACAUUCUCAUUUGCUAUUUUGGAGCAGUGACAUUUAAGUGGACUCUUCUCAUAUACAAAGCUGUAUAGCUUUAAAGUGCUGUGAAAAAAUUCUUUUCUCAUUUUUUGUACAGCAAUAAUAUAUUUUUGUACCAAACUUACAGACAUUUUAAUGAAAAACUGGUGUUGUUAGAGAUGUUUUUGGUACUGGUUUAAGUUUAUGGUUGACUGUUAUGGUUGAAUGUUACUUAAUUCUAUUGUUAAUGUUGUAAAGAGCUCAAUAUGCAGCCUCAGAUGUUAUUAUAUAAAAUCCUAUGUAAAAUAUUUUGACAUGUUAUAUUUUGUGAAAUAUUGAAUUAUAUAACAUCACAGUAAGUUGCUGAGGUGUAGAGAUUUAUAUUGUGUGUUUUUGCACAAGGUGUAUCUGUAUCUUAUUGAUUACCAUGUUGUACAUCAUACUUGAACAUUUUGCAUUCUUUUUUCUUCAGUAAAUGAAUAUGUUGUGUCUUUGAAGAUUUAUGAAAGUUCUCAUUGCAUAAAUAUAUGUUUUGAACAUGAGACAGAACUCACACAAAAUGGGAGAGGGGGGGGGGGGGGGGGUAGUCUUUUGUCCUGGCUUUAUAACUGAAAGCUGAUAGAAUUUUUUUUUGGGAACAAGGUUGUUUAUUAGGCAUGAUAAUAUACAAUAACAUCUCCUUGUACAUCAAUAACACCUUCUAAAGCUCCACUUAUCUUACACCAUACAUUCAGUCUCUCUUCUGCGUUAUUCUUCCUCCUUUUCCUCGUGUACAAAGAGAAUGGUUUAUAAUUCUUCCAUUUUGUAAAUAAUGGCAAGAAAUUUGUGUUAGCUUUAAAGUAUAUGAAAAUUGAGCACAUUUCUUUUACAAGGUUCUGCCUAAAGAUACUGCAUUUUUUGUAUAUCAUAUUUGCUACAUAGUUCUGCUGAAAAGUGUCCAACAGUUUAAACAGCUAUUUGACUACUGCCCUCCCCACACCUCAAAUAAAUAACUAAAUAAACAAACAAAUGAAAUAUUGGAGCCUGGAAAAAUUGUGAAGAAGAUUGAGGCUUUACUACAUUUUCAUGUUAAAAGCUGGUAUCUGGGCAAAUCACAUUAGAUUUCAGGUUGGGAUUCUGUCUGACUGUGUGUGCGUGUGUAUGUUUUUUUUUUAAUAAGGAGGGGGAGGGGGGGGGGAGGGAGAGAGAGAGAGAGAGAGAGAGAGAGAGAGAGAGAGAGAGAGAGAAAUGAGUUUUGUUCAAAAGUAUCACUCCUUUACUUUGAUGCUUGUGAUAUUCAUUGUUGACCUCAUGAUUAUAAGUAAAAGUUUAUGACAAUCCUUUUUCACUAUUUCUCUACUUCCUUACAUUUAUGGAAGAAUGUGAAUUCAGACUGAGCAUAGUUUUGGAAGAUUGUAUGAUUGAUUAUUUAAGGUAGCUCGUAUCUAUGUUUGUGUAUGAUGUUUCCAAAGAAGAGACAUCUGCUAUAUUUCACUGCUGAAACUGCAGAUUAUAAUAAUGCUCAUUUGUUCCACUGGGUUCAGAUAUGUUUGCAUUAAGAGUUCCAUUUAGUGCAAAAGAUUGUACAAAGGUUAGACUAGUGUCUGUAAGGAAGAGUGGGUCAUACCAUCAUGCAAUAUGGUUCAAAGUCUUUCUUUCAUUUCUAAUGUCUUAAACUGUUAGUUGUUAAAUACUUCAAGUUUCCGAAUGCUGAUGAAUUGCUGUUUGUUCAGCAAAUAAAUUCUUAUCUAAAUUUUUGACUUGUUGAGAAACUGAGUCAGUUUUGUACUGUGAGAAAUUGUAAAACUGCUGUUUUUCACUAUUCAUAUACUGUGCAUCAAAGUUAUGACAAAAAACAGUUCAUGAUUUUUUUUAGUGUGUUAUCAUAAGUAGAACAGAGUUGAUGAAAUAUUCCUCUUUCUCUUCUGAGGUUUACAGGUUUAUUACGCCAAUAAAAAAAUAAUUUUACAUUGCAUUCAAGCCAUAUUAUUAUACUGAGCAAAUGUUGUCAUUUUUUGUAAUGUUUUGUA